AUGUCUACACAGAUUCUCAUGUUUCUGAGGACACUUCAAGAGAUUUUGGACACUUUUCCACGAUUCGACGCAGUAUGUCAAAUAUGGAUGACUUCUAUAGACCAUACCUGACGACCAAUGAAACACGAUACAACGAACUUGUCAUGGUAGCAGAUUAUCGAAUGUACCUCGAGCACAACAAUGAUACUGCCGCCAUCAAAGACAGAGUUAUUACAUUGGUGAAUGCUGUUGAUGCG